AGGCAGCUACGCGGCGACGUGAUGCUAAUCCCUAAAGCCUCUCUCAGUUCGGAUUGGAGUCUGCAACCCGACUCCAUGAAGCUGGAUUCGCUAGUAAUCGCGCAUCAGCCACGGCGCGGUGAAUACGUUCCCGGGCCUUGUACACACCGCCCGUCAAGCCAUGAAAGCCGGGGGUACCUGAAGUGCGUAACCGCAAGGAGCGCCCUAGGGUAAAACUGGUGAUUGGGGCUAAGUCGUAACAAGGUAAC
rnacentral:rRNA from 1 species